UAGGGAAUUUUCGGCAAUGGGGGAAACCCUGACCGAGCAACGCCGCGUGAACGAUGAAGGCCUUCGGGUCGUAAAGUUCUGUUGCGAAGGAAGAACGCCGGUGUCAGGAAAUGGGCGCCGGGUGACGGUACUUCGCAUAGAAAGCCACGGCUAACUACGUGCCAGCAGCCGCGGUAAUACGUAGGUGGCGAGCGUUAUCCGGAAUCAUUGGGCGUAAAGAGGGAGCAGGCGGCGAUACAGGUCUGUGGUGAAAUUCCGAAGCUAAACUUCGGCCAGCCAAAGAAACCGGAUCGCUAGAGUGCGGAAGAGGAUCGUGGAAUUCCAUGUGUAGCGGUGAAAUGCGUAGAUAUAUGGAGGAACACCAGUGGCGAAGGCGACGGUCUGGGCCGCAACUGACGCUCAUUCCCGAAAGCGUGGGGAGCAAAUAGG
rnacentral:rRNA from 2 species